rnacentral:rRNA from 1 species
AACGAACGCUGGCGGCAUGCCUAACACAUGCAAGUCGAACGGUGCCUUCGGGCACAGUGGCGCACGGGUGAGUAACACGUGGGAACCUGCCUUUCGGUUCGGAAUAACGUUUGGAAACGAACGCUAACACCGGAUACGUCCUUCGGGAGAAAGUUUACGCCGAGAGAGGGGCCCGCGUCCGAUUAGGUAGUUGGUGAGGUAACGGCUCACCAAGCCGACGAUCGGUAGCUGGUCUGAGAGGAUGAUCAGCCACACUGGGACUGAGACACGGCCCAGACUCCUACGGGAGGCAGCAGUGGGGAAUAUUGGACAAUGGGCGCAAGCCUGAUCCAGCAAUGCCGCGUGAGUGAUGAAGGCCUUCGGGUUGUAAAGCUCUUUCGCACGUGACGAUGAUGACGGUAACGUGAGAAGAAGCCCCGGCUAACUUCGUGCCAGCAGCCGCAGUAAGAC